rfam:Anopheles arabiensis strain DONG5_A unplaced genomic scaffold supercont1.784, whole genome shotgun sequence.
GGCAAUACCUCGCUGAUACGGAGGUGGAUCCGAAGCCUCUAAAAGGUGAACAUAGGCUCUUCACCUCCUACUCCUACUCUCAUUCUCAUUUUUCCGGCUGCUAAAACUCCUACUACAACUCAAUACGUCCCUGUCGUACAGAACGGUAACAUGUCUCUCAAUUACCCAAGCUUGGGUAUACGGGGAAACCCAACUCCUUCGGCGGAUGGAUUGCAUGGCUAAAUUGAGAGGG